rnacentral:rRNA from 1 species
AUUGAACGCUGGCGGCAGGCCUAACACAUGCAAGUCGAGCGGAUGAAGGGAGCUUGCUCCUGGAUUCAGCGGCGGACGGGUGAGUAAUGCCUAGGAAUCUGCCUGGUAGUGGGGGAUAACGUCCGGAAACGGGCGCUAAUACCGCAUACGUCCUGAGGGAGAAAGUGGGGGAUCUUCGGACCUCACGCUAUCAGAUGAGCCUAGGUCGGAUUAGCUAGUUGGUGGGGUAAAGGCCUACCAAGGCGACGAUCCGUAACUGGUCUGAGAGGAUGAUCAGCCACACUGGAACUGAGGCACGGUCCAGACUCCUACGGGAGGCAGCAGUGGGGAAUAUCGGACAAUGGGCGAAAGCCUGAUCCAGCCAUGCCGCGUGUGUGAAGAAGGUCUUCGGAUUGUAAAGCACUUUAAGUUGGGAGGAAGGGCAGUAAGUUAAUACCUUGCUGUUUUGACAUUACCAACAGAAUAAGCACCGGCUAACUUCGUG